AAGUGAUUAUUAUUAUCAUAAAGCAUUAUAAUUUCUAUUUCAGUUCACUAUUAUUAUCAUAACAGUAUUAAAAUUUUAAUUUUACGUCUGUUAAUGUCAAUCUUAAUUGCAAAUUCAAUAUGAUGGAGUUGUCUCGAUAGCAUUGCAAAUCCACAUUUUCAUAUUGUUAGCUUAAUAGCAUUGGCCAUAAAAUAUUAAGUACAUUAAUGAGAAAAAUAUUUCAUCUGCCCCCAUGUGGAUGAUUAAACUUCAUGUAUUGAUCAUAAGGCGAGGAAGGGCGCCGACGCGCUGGGCGUAGCGGUCCUACUUGAGGUAGCGGCCAAUGCGGCCCACCGCGAACUGGAGGCCGACCUUCACCGACCGAGAGACGGAUUUCUUCUUGGAUCCAACGCCUCCCCUCCGACCGCCGGCGCCCUUCCUCGCCUUCCCCCCGGUCUCCAUCUCCUCCGCCCUCGUACCGGUCUGGACAACGCUCCCCGAUAUCCUGAGUCAACUUGGAUCACUGAGUUCCACACGUCAGAUGAGUUCCGAUGGAGGGCGGGAGAUUGCUUGGAUGGCGAUCCAUGGCGAUCGGGAUUGGGCCAAUCGAACGACGUCUUUCACGGUCAUACCAGCCUGCCUACAUCUGAAUAUCUCCAUGGAGAAAAAAUCUGAGAGGCCAAGUCGACACCAGAGGAAUGCGUCGCGGGGUGUCUUUGCUCUCCCUGAAAACUUCUCCAGCUCUGAAGCUCCUCCAGUGGAAGUUAGUGAGCAGAAGACGGCAUGCAAGCCGGCCCAGAAUCCACCUGAUGGUCAUCCUUCAGCUUCGCUGCAACAGGAGCUGAAGAGCAGUGUUACUAAAAAUCAUUGAGGCUGUGUGCUUAAUCUGUGUCUUUGCACUCUUUGUAAUAGAUGCACUUUCCUAUCUCUAUAACGCCACAAUAGUUUCACUGUCCUGUGGGUGCAUGCCACCAGCAGUUGCUGCAAUGCAAAAUAAAUGGACAUCAAGAGCUAGUUCUUAUGAUUUAUCCUUAUCUUUCGCUAUAAAAUGUCAGUAGAUCUAUAUAUAAUGUGGAGCAAUAUGCUGUUUGACUGA